rnacentral:rRNA from 1 species
UACGUAGGGUGCAAGCGUUGUCCGGAAUUACUGGGCGUAAAGCGCACGUAGGCGGCGAUUCAAGUCAGAGGUGAAAGCCCCGGGGCUCAACCCCGGAACUGCCUUUGAAACUAGAUUGCUAGAAUCUUGGAGAGGUCAGUGGAAUUCCGAGUGUAGAGGUGAAAUUCGUAGAUAUUCGGAAGAACACCAGUGGCGAAGGCGACUGACUGGACAAGUAUUGACGCUGAGGUGCGAAAGCGUGGGGAGCAAACAGGG